rnacentral:rRNA from 1 species
CGGAACGUGUCCUGUUGUGGGGGAGUAACUGAUCGAAAGAUCAGCUAAUACCGCAUGAGACCUGAGGGUGAAANCGGGGGAUCGCAAGACCUCGCGCGACAGGAGCGGCCGAUGUCUGAUUAGCUAGUUGGUGAGAUAAAAGCUUACCAAGGCGACGAUCAGUAGCUGGUCUGAGAGGAUGAUCAGCCACAUUGGGACUGAGACACGGCCCAGACUCCUACGGGAGGCAGCAUG